AACAAAAUGAAAAGGCAACUCACUAACUGGGAGAAUAUAUUUGCAAAUCAUAUAUCCAGUAAAGGGUUAAUACCUAAAAUACAUAGAAUUAAUUCAACUCAA